AGGCAGCUAUUAAAGCUCAGCGUGUUAAGGAGGCUCUUCAGUCAAACAGAGAUUGCGCUCUUAAACGGCCGCGUGGUAGGCCGCCUAAGCGACAGGGUACUCAAACCGGGAAGAACGACCCGCCGGCAGGAACAAUUAAAUCUAGGCUGCGUGGAACAGAAGAGGUGGAACGUAAUCAACAAUCUGAGGAUUUGAUUAACAGACGUAUGCAAGAGGCGAAAGAGUUGGGGCAUAACCCAAUGGGUUAUGUGAUUGAACAGCGGACGUCGAAGAGCGGCAAAGUUAUGAGUAACGUUGCUGACUUUACGGCUAACAGUUGGGCAGCUAAAGUGGAGAGGGGGGAGUCCCAAUCCACUAACACUCAUUAGUUUUUAUGAACUUGCUUGUU
rnacentral:lncRNA from 1 species